AAAGUUGCCGUGGAUCCUCAAGUGAAGGCGUUGGAUGGCAAGGCCUACGACAUUCUGUAUGUCGGGACAGACGACGGCCGAGUUCUCAAAGCGCUCAACACUCGUGCACCGGAUUCACUGAGCAAUGUUAGCCAGGUCAUCGUAAGCGACGUUCAAGUGCUGAAGUAUGGACAAGCGAUCAAGGAUCUGUUGGUGGUCCACCUGGCCGGCGAGGCGAGCAAGUUGGUCGUGUUUGCUGACUCCGAAAUUCGCGCGGUACCACUGCACCAUUGCGAUGCCCCUGCGGCGGCCACCUGCGCGUCUUGCGUCGGUCUUCAGGAUCCUCACUGUGCCUGGGACGCGACCAAGAAUCUGUGUGUGGCCGUGUCGACGAAACUGCACGACAGCGACGCCGACAAAACCCUGUUCCAGGACAUUGUGAACGGGAGACACAAAGGAUGCGGCUACGAGCCAGGUAAUUCUCGUUUAUGUAAACUCGACUUAGUAGGGUUGAAACGUUUCGAGGCUCGAUUACCGACGAUCAUUAUGAAACGUUAUCGACCGCGCGUCUC